GGGGCCGGUCGUGCUCUGCCCGGCUCGGUCUGCGAGCACAGGGGCAGGAGGUAGGUCGGUCUCCGCCCCCACCUUGACGUCCUGGACUCUGACCCUGCAGCGCUUCCCAGGCGGCUGACCUUUCCCUCGGUGCCCGUUAGCGAAGGGUCUCCUGCUUGGUGUGUUGGCCUGCCCGAGUGGCCCUGCCGCUGUUGCAAGCAGCUUGGAAAGGUGUACAGACAUAGGGGAACCUAGUUGGUGAAGACCACUGAAAAAGAUGAGAUGCUGUACUAGACAAGAGAAAGUUGGUUGCUGCUUUCAGGAACUGUGCCAAAAGGCUUUCUUUGCAUUCAAAGACGUCCCCCUCCACCCCCAAAUACUGAAGUUUACAGAUGCAGCUGCACCCCACUAGCCACCGUUACCUGCUUCUCAGUCUAUUUCUAAUCCCACCUUCUCUAGGGUCAGAUUUACGCAGUCUUGCCCAGGGACAAGUUUUCCAUGACACUGGAUUCAUCGCUCAGCUACAAUAUGGUAGGUAGCGAGUAUAACACUGUUUAUGCUGACCAAGCAGCAUGUAAGUCCUGCUGCCCAGCAACCUGAAUCUAAGUCAUACACCUGGAUUAAGUCCCUUACAUAGCUGAUCAUUCAUUUUAUCCUCUUUUAUUCUGAUUUGCUCAACAACUUUAACCAGGUGCCAGGCAUACGCUCAGGCCCCACUUGCAGAGCAGUGUGUUCAAUUCAACCUAUGCAUCUUGGGCAAGAGUUUAACGUUUUCUGAGCUGCACCUCCUCCUGCUAUAACACCACUGCUGUCUUGUGCAAACACUUUGAGCCCUGUGAUGGACUCUGGUCAUGUUCCUAAGGUUCCUAUUACUUCAGCUGCAAAAAUACAAUGAUUAGAUUUUAUUCAGGGCUGGGUAGCACUUGCCUUAGCCUGCAAAAGAGACCUCGUAUGACCUGAUCUGAUAUGGCAGUCGCUCUGCUUGUGGGAAUACCGUGAACCUUGCUAACCUGUUUUUCCUUUAGUUCAUGAUGCUGCACGCUGGUUAUGUCAACAGUAUCAGCUCUUUCACUUAUGAUUACUUCAGGCAUUGUUAGCUCUAAUGGCUCAGCAAGAGCAGAAUGGUGGUUGAACAUACUUUUACAAGGAGCAAGGAUCUCUGGUUCAUAGGAAAUAAGACGCCUUGUGAGACAUUUGAACGCAGACCCUUAACUAGUUGCAGGGUCAGUCGUCAGAGAUGGGCAUUUGUCUAACCCUUUCCUAACGUGUGCUUAAGGCCUGGAUGAGGAGGAUGGCGCUGAGGCUGCGAACCAGGAGACCAGAACGCACCGACGGGUUUUAGACCACCCUGCGGGAGGAGGCGCUGGCCAUAGCCGCCGCAGGCAGACACGGGCCGGGU